AGUGAACGCUGGCGGUAGGCCUAACACAUGCACGUCGAACGAGUGGCGGACGGGUGAGGAAUUCAUCGGAAUCUACUCUGUCGUGGGGGAUAACGACGGGAAACUUACGCUACUACCGCAUACGAUUGAAUGAGCCGAUGUCGGAUUAGCUAGUUGGCGGGGUAACGGCCCACCAAGGCGACGAUCCGCAGCUGGUCUGAGAGGAUGAUCAGCCACACUGGAACGGAGACACGGUCCAGACUCCUACGGGGGGCAGCAGGGGGGAAUAGUGGACAAUGGGCGCAAGCCUGAUCCAGCCAUACCGCGUGGGUGACGAAGGCCUUCGGGUUGUAAAGCUCUUUUGUUGGGAUAGCGGUACCCAAAGCAUAAGCAACGACUAACUUCGUGCCAGCAGCCGCGGUAAUUC
rnacentral:rRNA from 1 species